GAUCCUGGCUCAGGAUGAACGCUGGCGGCGUGCCUAACACAUGCAAGUCGAACGGAAUUUACAUGAAGCCUAGCGAUUGUAAAUUUAGUGGCGGACGGGUGAGUAACGCGUGGGUAACCUGCCUUGUACUGGGGGACAACAGUUGGAAAUGACUGCUAAUACCGCAUAAGCGCACGGUGUCGCAUGACACAGUGUGAAAAACUCCGGUGGUAUGAGAUGGACCCGCGUCUGAUUAG
rnacentral:rRNA from 1 species